CAGUCGCCGCGGUAAUACGAAGGGUGCAAGCGUUAAUCGGAAUUACUGGGCGUAAAGGGUGCGUAGGCGGUUGUUUAAGUCCGUUGUGAAAGCCCUGGGCUCAACCUGGGAAUUGCAGUGGACACUGCGUCACUAGAGUGUGGUAGAGGAUAGUGGAAUUUCCGGUGUAGCAGUGAAAUGCGUAGAGAUCGGAAGGAACAUCUGUGGCGAAGGCGACUCUCUGGUCUGUAACUGACGCUGAGGAGCGAAAGCGUGGGGAGCGAACAGGAUUAGAUACCCGAGUAGUCCCUGUCUCUUAUAC
rnacentral:rRNA from 1 species